GCUCAUUUUAUCGUUCAUCAAUAUGACGUCGAAGUAGAGUGAUAUUCGCAUUUCCGUCCAAGGACAUAAACUGUCACGGGACAGAAAAGCCAAAGUUGGUGGCAACUUAAAUCAUCUCAUACAAUAAAGCCCCAAAACGAAUUGGAACUUCAUUUCUCCCAAACUCCAAACCCUAAACAUUUCCUACACUCUCUCAAACUCUCCUCCAUGAAUCAAGAUCAGAUCCAAGAGCUAAACAAGUAAUUAUAACGUAAGUAAUCACGUAGUACUCGUAGAAAUAGUCGUUUCUCCGUCGUUUCGCUUUUCGGAAGGAUUCUUCAACUUGAAGUAAUCUUGGUGCUGGGGUGUUUUUUCAUAAAUUAAGGUAAUCAUUCGUAAGAUAUUCAAGGACUCGUGGAAUGUGGAAAACUUCAUUGUUAAGGUACAGGUAGACGGAUUGGUGUACCUUUCUCAGCAGGGUACCAGAGUUCAGCAGGGAUGUUCGCACUCCAUUCUCCGGAGUUGCUGGUCAGGGUCAUCAAAUAGGAUGCAUGCAUGUAUAUACAUAUGUUUAGAUGGUGUUGGGUACGGCGGGGCCGUGUCCCAACCAGAUGUUGCAUUUUAGUACUCUUAGAGGCUUACAGACUAUCAGUUAAUAUUGAUGUGUUUUGUUGGCCUUGUCGGCCUCAGUUAUGCAUAUAUAUGUUAUUGGGCCUUGUCAG